UACGUAGGGCGCAAGCGUUGUCCGGAAUUAUUGGGCGUAAAAGGAGCUCGUAGGUGGCGUGUCGCGUCGUGACCGUGAAAGCCCAUGGCUUAACGUGUGGGUCUGACGGUGGAUACGGGCAGGCUGGAGGCUGGUAGGGGCAAGCGGAAGUUCCUGGUGUGAGCGGUGGAAAGUGACGCAGAUAUCAAGGAGGAACACCGGUGGACGAAGGCGGCUUGCUGGGCCAGUCUGACGCUGAGGAGCGAAAGCGUGGGGAGCGAACAGG
rnacentral:rRNA from 1 species